GGGGAUAAGCCCAAACCGUUAUUGUUUCGGCAGUAGCGGGGUAGUAGGACUGCGACAUUGAUGAAAUAAAUGAAAUGGAACACCUUGGAAAAUGUGAUCACAGAGGGUGAUAAUCCCGUACAUGCAAGUUUAUGAAUCAUAGCAGACUCCUGAGUAAGUCGGGACACGUGUAAUCCUGACCGAAUCCGCCGGGACCAUCCGGCAAGGCUAAAUACUCCUGAGAGACCGAUAGUGAACCAGUACCGUGAGGGAAAGGUGAAAAGCACUUCGAACAGAAGAGUGAAAUAGUCCCUGAACCCAUACGCCUACAAGCAGUCGGAGCCGCUUCGUGCGGUGACGGCGUGCCUUUUGCAUAAUGAGCCUACGAGUUACUCAUCACCAGCGAGGUUAAGUACUUCAGGUACGUAAGCCGAAGCGAAAGCGAGUCUGAAUAGGGCGUCAAGUUGGUGGUGGUAGACGCGAAACCUAGUGAUCUACCCAUGGGCAGGGUGAAGGUUUGGUAACACAAACUGGAGGCCCGAACCGGUAAACGUUGAAAAGUUUUCGGAUGACCUGUGGGUAGGGGUGAAAGGCCAAUCAAACUGGGAAAUAGCUCGUACUCUCCGAAAUGCAUUUAGGUGCAGCCUCUGUUGUUUUGUUCUAGAGGUAGAGCUACUGAUUGGAUGCGAGGGCUUCACCGCCUAUCAAAUCCGGCCAAACUCCGAAUGCUAGAACAUGAAGACAGGGAGUGAGCCAGCGGGUGCUAAGGUCCGUUGACGAAAGAGGGAGAACUCAGACCAUCAGCUAAGGUCCCCAAUUAUAUGCUAAGUUGGAAUAAAAACGGGGUGGGACUGCUUAGACAGCUAGGAUGUUGGCUUGGAAGCAGCCAUUCAUUUAAAGAGUGCGUAACAGCUCACUAGUCGAGCGGUCCUGCAUGGAUAAUACGCGGGCAUAAGCAUAUAACCGAAGCUAUGGGAUUGUAGAUGAUACAAUCGGUAGGAGAGCAUUCCAUUCAGCGUAGAAGCAGUAUCGUGAGGUAUUGUGGAGCGGAUGGAAAAGCAAAUGUAGGCAUAAGUAACGAUAAUGCGGGUGAGAACCCCGCACGCCGAAAGAUCAAGGAUUCCCCGGCAAUGUCAAUCAUCCGGGGGUAAGUCGGAUCCUAAGGGUAAGCCGAGUGGCGAUCCCGAUGGCAAACAGGUUAAUAUUCCUGUACUGAUCAUAACUGCGAUGCAGCGACGCAGAGGUGACACUGCUGCGUACUGACGGAAUAGUACGUUGAAACCCGUAUUCUUUGAUACCGGUAGUGAAGCACGCCGGUAGAGAUGAAAGGUGAUAGUACCGCAAUGCUUCGGUUGCGCGGAUAAUGCAGGUAAGCUGACUGCCAAGAAAACCUGCUAAGCUUCAGGUAAUGAUCAUCCGUACUGUAAACGGACACACGUGAUCAGGUAGAAAAUACUAAGGCGUCGAGAGAUUCAUGGUUAAGGAACUAGGCAAAAUGGUCCUGUAACUUCGGGAUAAAGGACGCUCUUGUGAAAGAGCCGCAGAUAAUAGGCCCAGGCGACUGUUUACCAAAAACACAUGGCUAUGCUAAUUCGCAAGAAGAUGUAUAUGGCCUGACACCUGCCCGGUGCCGGAAGGUUAAGAGGAGAGCUCAGAGGUAACUCGAAGGUUUGAAUUGAAGCCCCGGUAAACGGCGGCCGUAACUAUAACGGUCCUAAGGUAGCGAAAUUCCUUGUCGGGUAAGUUCCGACCUGCACGAAUGGUGUAACGAUCUGGGUACUGUCUCAACCAUGAGCUCGGUGAAAUUGUAGUUCCGGUGAAGAUGCCGGAUACCCGCAACGGGACGGAAAGACCCCGUGAACCUUUACUGCAGCUUUGCAUUGAUUUUGGGUAACAGAUGUGUAGGAUAGGUCGGAGGCUUUGAUGCUGCGUCGUCAGGCGUAGAGUAGCCGUCGUUGAAAUACGACCCUUUUGUUAUCUGAGGUCUAACCCGUUAGGGAGACAUUGCAUGGUGGGUAGUUUGACUGGGGUGGUCGCCUCCAAAAGUGUAACGGAGGCUUCUCAAGGUACCCUCAAGGCGUUUGGUAAUCGUCUGCAGAGUGCAAUGGCAUAAGGGUGCUUGACUGUGAGACCGACACGUCGAUCAGGUUGGAAACAAGAGCAUAGUGAUCCGGUGGUUCCGCAUGGAAGGGCCAUCG
rnacentral:rRNA from 1 species